rnacentral:sRNA from 1 species
ACGCCUUGAGAGGCCCAAUCGGGAGCACUGUCCCCGCUGAUGUAGACGACCGGCAUCUCAGGGUCGAUCUCCCUU